UCUAAGGUUUCCAGGGUAAAGCUGAUCUGCCCUGGGUAAGUCGGGGCCUAAGGCGAGGACGAGAGUCGUAGCCGAUGGACAACAGGUUGAGAUUCCUGUACUGCAGUAAGACAGAACUGUGGGGACACGUGUGGAGAGCAUAGGCGCGGAAUGGAAAGCCGCGUGCAAGCGAGGUAGGAGUCCUGUAGGAAAAACCGCAGGGCAAUCCGAAGGCGUGAUGCGGACCGAAAUCUAGUAGGGAAGUAUGUGAGCCAUGCGUCAAGAAAAGCCGCUAUUGUUCUUAUUGUACCCGUACCGUAAACCGACACAGGUGGAUGAGGAGAGAAUCCUAAGGCCGACGGAAGAAGCAUUGUUAAGGAACUCGGCAAAAUGACCCCGUAACUUCGGGAGAAGGGGUGCCACAGAAAUGUGGCCGCAGAGAAUAGGCUCAAGCAACUGUUUAGCAAAAACACAGGUCUAUGCAAAACCGAAAGGUGAGGUAUAUGGGCUGACGCCUGCCCGGUGCUGGAAGGUUAAGAGGAGAGGUUAGCGCAAGCGAAGCUUUGAAUUUAAGCCCCAGUAAACGGCGGCCGUAACUAUAACGGUCCUAAGGUAGCGAAAUUCCUUGUCGGGUAAGUUCCGACCCGCACGAAAGGCGUAAUGAUUUGAGCGCUGUCUCGACAAUGCAUCCGGUGAAAUUGAAGUACCAGUGAAGAUGCUGGUUACCUGCGCCAGGACGGAAAGACCCCAUGGAGCUUUACUCCAGCUUGAUACUGGGAUUCGGUAUUGCAUGUACAGGAUAGGUGGGAGGCUGAGAAUCGGUAACGCCAGUUGCCGAGGAGCCAUUGUUGGGAUACCACCCUUGCAGUACUGGGUUUCUAACCAGCAGCCGUGACCCGGCUGGGGGACAAUGUCAGGUGGGGAGUUUGACUGGGGCGGUCGCCUCCGAAAGGGUAUCGGAGGCGCUCAAAGGUUCCCUCAGAAUGGUUGGAAACCAUUCGAAGAGUGCAAAGGCAGAAGGGAGCUUGACUGCGACACCGACGGGUGGAGCAGGUACGAAAGUAGGACUUAGUGAUCCGGUGGUAUUAAGUGGGAAUGCCAUCGCUCAACGGAUAAAAGCUACCCUGGGGAUAACAGGCUUAUCACUCCCAAGAGUUCACAUCGACGGAGUGGUUUGGCACCUCGAUGUCGGCUCAUCGCAUCCUGGGGCUGUAGUAGGUCCCAAGGGUUGGGCUGUUCGCCCAUUAAAGCGGUACGCGAGCUGGGUUCAGAACGUCGUGAGACAGUUCGGUCCCUAUCCGGCGUGGGCGUAGGAUAUCUGAGAGGAGCUGUCCUUAGUACGAGAGGACCGGGAUGGACGGACCGCUGGUGUACCUGUUGCAGUGCCAGCUGCAUGGCAGGGUAGCCAAGUCCGGAAGGGAUAAACGCUGAAGGCAUCUAAGCGUGAAGCCCCCCUCAAGAUGAGAUAUCCCAUUCGAAAGAAGUAAGACCCCUUGAAGACGACGAGGUAGAUAGGGCAGAGGUGGAAGUGCAGUAAUGUAUGGAGCUGACUGUUACUAAUCGGUCGAGGGUUUGAUC
rnacentral:rRNA from 1 species